rnacentral:rRNA from 1 species
CCCCAGACUCCUACGGGAGGCAGCAGUGGGGAAUAUUGCACAAUGGGGGAAACCCUGAUGCAGCGACGCCGCGUGAGUGAAGAAGUAUUUCGGUAUGUAAAGCUCUAUCAGCAGGGAAGAAAAUGACGGUACCUGACCAAGAAGCCCCGGCUAACUACGUGCCAGCAGCCGCGGUAAUACGUAGGGGGCAAGCGUUAUCCGGAUUUACUGGGUGUAAAGGGAGCGUAGACGGUUGCGCAAGUCAGAAGUGAAAGCCCGGGGCUCAACUCCGGGACUGCUUUUGAAACUGUGAAACUGGAGUGCAGGAGAGGUAAGCGGAAUUCCUGGUGUAGCGGUGAAAUGCGUAGAUAUCAGGAGGAACGCCAGUGGCGAAGGCGGCUUACUGGACUGUAACUGACGUUGAGGCUCGAAAGCGUGGGGAACAAACAGGAUUAGAUACCCUAGUAA